AAUUUAGUGGCGGACGGGUGAGUAACGCGUGGGUAACCUGCCUUGUACUGGGGGACAACAGUUGGAAACGACUGCUAAUACCGCAUAAGCGCACAGCUUCGCAUGAAGCAGUGUGAAAAACUCCGGUGGUACAAGAUGGACCCGCGUCUGAUUAGCUGGUUGGUGAGGUAACGGCCCACCAAGGCGACGAUCAGUAGCCGGCCUGAGAGGGUGAACGGCCACAUUGGGACUGAGACACGGCCCAAACUCCUACGGGAGGCAGCAGUGGGGAAUAUUGCACAAUGGGGGAAACCCUGAUGCAGCAACGCCGCGUGAGUGAAGAAGUAUUUCGGUAUGUAAAGCUCUAUCAGCAGGAAA
rnacentral:rRNA from 1 species